rnacentral:rRNA from 1 species
GACGAACGCUGGCGGCGUGCUUAACACAUGCCAGUCGAACGGAAAGGCCCUGCUUUUGUGGGGUGCUCGAGUGGCGAACGGGUGAGUAACACGUGAGUAACCUGCCCUUGACUUUGGGAUAACUUCAGGAAACUGGGGCUAAUACCGGAUAGGAGCUCCUGCUGCAUGGGGGGGGUUGGAAAGUUGCGGCGGGUGGGGAUGGACUCGCGGCUUAUCAGCUUGUUGGUGGGGUAGUGGCUUACCAAGGCUUGGACGGGUAGCCGGCCGGACGAGGUGACCGGCCGCAUCGCGGGGGAUGUGACACCGAGACGCCUACGAGGGGCAGCAGGGGGGAGUAAUGCCCAGUAGUGGGAGGACGGAUGCAGGAGCGCCGCGGGCGGGAGGACGACCUUCUGGUGGUAGACCACUUUCGCCUGUGACGAAGCGACAAUGACGGUAAUGGGUAAAGAAGCACCGGCUAACUACGUG